AAAGCUUGCUUCAGUAUUUGAAUGAGUACUGUCAUGGUGUCAGGGAACACAGACUCAGAUAAUACAGUGAACAAAGAAAGGCCUGUUUACUGAGGCCUGUAGCUGACUACUACAAAAAAAAAAAACUAAGCCAGUGGAUGGAGAGGUGAUCAGAGAAAAGAAGACACAGGACCUUGCACUAGUAGAAGUGACAGACAUUCAGGACGUCUUAUUCCCUAUACAAUAUCAAAAACUGGAAUGGAAUUCAAAUGGAAUUCAAACAAAGAGGUAAGAAAAAAAAAAUUUCAUGAUCAUAUUUUUUUUUUUUUGUAGAACACUCAUAACAGAGAA
rnacentral:lncRNA from 1 species